rnacentral:rRNA from 1 species
AAAAGUUACCCCGGGGAUAACAGAGUCGUCGCGGGCGAGAGCCCACAUCGACCCCGCGGUUUGCUACCUCGAUGUCGGCUUUUCCCAUCCUGGGGGUGCAGCAGCCCCCAAGGGUGGGGCUGCCCGCCCAUUAAAGGGGAACGUGAGCUGGGUUUAGACCGUCGUGAGACAGGUCGGACUCUACCCACGGGGGGUGUCGGCCGCCUGAGGGGAAGGUGCCCUCAGUACGAGAGGAACGGGGCGCCCCGGCCUCUGGUGUACCGGUUGUCCGGCAGGGCAGAGCCGGGCAGCUACGCCGGAAGGGGUAACCGCUGAAAGCAUCUAAGCGGGAACCCCACCCCGAAAAGAGGCGGCCAUUGAGGGCUCCCGUAGAAGACGGGGUUGAUGGGGCGGGGGUGUAAGCCCCGAGGGGUUUCCCGAGGGGCGAGCCCGCCGCUCCCAAUCGCCCGAGGCC